UCAAGCAAAAUACCUUUCAACCCCGGAUCUUGUACCCAGCUAAACUGAGUUUCAUUUAUGACGGAGAAAUCAAACAUCUUUAAACAAAAACACACGCAUAUUUUGAGAUAGUCUAAUGUCCUUAAUAUUCUAGUUCUCUUAACCAUCCAAAAACAUUUAACUUCAUUUUGAUUCAUCUUACCCAUAUUGAUAAGGCACAGCUUACAUAAAUCAAAAAUCUUGGACUCACGAGGUAGAUCAAAGUUGCUCCUAAAACACAUAUUCAAACCAUAAACAUUAUUAAAUAGUAAAUCGAUAUAUAUCAUAUAUAUUCAUUUAUUUAAAGGAAAUUUUGCCACUAACUCAGAGUAAAUAAAAUGCUGUUUAGCAUGGAUUUGCUUUUAGAGAGUAGCCCAGUGCUGAAUAAAAAUACAGGCAAGUUAAGGGACUCACAAGGCAUUUGUUUUGUUUUUCUUUGCCACAAAGCAAUCUUCAAUCAUUUGUCCUGCAGUGACCCCUGGGGAAAUGUUCAAUCAUCUCUCUUAUCCCAAGUCUAGAGACAGAGAAGUAAGCAAGCCAUUGCCACUGCCACAAUUUUUACCCCCAUCUCUCUGCGUAUCUACACAAGCUUUACAGGAAGCAGCCCAGGGAGUGAUGGAAGGACACACAGGUGGCAGCCAGUGCCCCCUGGCAGGCAGAACAAGGACUUUCAGUGAAGUUUUCCCCUGAGUUACAGGAGGAUUAGGAGAGAUGGCUCUCUAGAUUGGGAGAACAGGGGUGUGUGCAAAGGUCUAGAGGAAAGGGAAAGCAUACUGCAAAUGAGAAAAUCCAGAAGUUGGGGUGGAAAGUCCAGUAGUUAGAGGAGGCUGAGAAAGGGCAGGCAGAAACAAGUCCACGGACAUUCCCCUUCACCCAGCAGGACAGGGCCAGAGUACCCAAGGAUCUCGCAGCUCUCUGUGGACUCCUAGCUUCAGGGCCUCCUCUCCUGCCCUGUCAGCACAGCCACUGCCAGCACAUCCACACGGGAGCUGCAACCACAGCCUGCUCAGGGCCAGUCACUGACAUCCCAGCCUUCCUGGUCUCCUCCUGCAACCUCGAGUGUGUCUUCCUGGUUUUCGAGAGCCCCAGUGACAGCCCUCUUCACCUACUCCCACCACCUGCCAUCUCCCUCUAUCACUACAUUGUCUAUGGAAGCUACCACCAGGUCAGACCCGGACCCUGAGAGCUGUGGAAGUGACCUAGACAUUCCUACUGGGAUUCAGAUAACAGGCUGAGUCCUCAGUACGAAGCCAUCGAAGUGACACAGAGCACAACAAGAAACAUAAAUUGACUCUUUUAAAUUAAUUCUUAAUGCAUGGAUAGAUUCUCUUUAUAAAAAUUCAAACAAUGCAGAUAAGGACAAACUCCUUUGGCCACCGUCUUGAUCCUCAAGCCUUCCCCAGAGGUGAGCACUGUGCUUAGAGUGGACUCCAUCCUUCCAUGCCUUGUCCUAGAAAAGCAUACCUAUUAAUUUCGGUUUGCAAAAAUGGACUCAUAUCCUACAUACUAUUUUUACAAAAUAUUCUCUACAUGUUGGCCACCUUUUUGUAAAAAUUUAUAAUGAAUAUUUUGCAAAUAAAGGUACAUUUAGGUACAGUUACUCAUUUUCCCUAAGUGUGGUGACUAUAGUAGGGGCAACUUUUGGGACACUGUGUA